CAGAAGGGUGUAGUUUAGACACACCCAGUAGUAAAUGCUAAAAACACAAAAGAGAAAAUAGGAAAAGAUAAGUCUUAUGUUGCACCCCUUUCUUACACCUAAUUUUGUAUGUUUAUAUACCACCACAGGUAUUCUGUUGCUCUACAGACAUAUGAAGAUAAUUCUUUGCCCAAGAGAGUUCACAUUUUAUUUUGAAUGCAUUAGAUUAUCUUAUCCUGAGACAUAGUUUUCUUUUGGAAAACUUGAAGGGCCAGAGUAAUUUUGUAGUUGAAAGAUGACUUGCUAAUUACAAUUGGGUCUUCUAAAUUGGGUUCAAAGAUUCAAAAUAUAAAACUUGCCUCUAUUUUCAACUUCAUUUAUAGUAAUAGAACUGUGGCCUUUUCAUAUUUAAGAAUGUGACUAGAUUUGUUUAAAUCACUAUGUGAUCUGCCCUUCCAUCCCUUGCCAUGCAAAUUUCAGGUAAAUUGGCUUCUUUUUGCCUAAGUGAUCAAAGAUGCUCUCAGUGAGAACCCAAGAUAGUUUGAGGUUAGUCUGAUAGAGUAUGUGGGAGACAUGAGUUCAGAAUAAAGGGCUGUUCAGUAUUUUAGAUGUUUUGUAGAAGUAUUUUCCAAUUUAUCUCACAACUGUCAAGCCAGUUGUAUGUGAGGGGAGAAGGGUUGUGAAUAUGGGGGAAAGGCUAAAGGACCAUUGACUUAAACUUUUUUGUUUUUGUUUUUAGAAAUUAGGUACUUUUUUAUAUUUUGAGUUAAGUUUAUUACAACAUGGAAUUUGAGGUCUGAAAUAAUAUGAAUGAUAUUCUGAAAUCCACAGCUUUUUCCUAAAUUCUAUAGUCAAGUCAUGAAAGUAUAUGUGAUUUCAGACACCUGUUGCUGAAGACUCUCUCCAUAAAAGCUUUCUAAGAACAACUACCUUAAAACAUCAAGAGGAGUUAAAAUGUCAUAGAACUACAGUAAGGAUGCCUUUUUCCUUGUCAGUCCCAGUUGCUCUGUUGAAUUAACUGAUGGGAUUUCUAUGGUUCCUCCUUUCUUUUUUUCCCUCUUUUAGAAACCUUAAUUUAGGAUUUCCUAGCUAUUUAGUGCGUCUGUAAAGGAUUAGAAUGUCGUAGGAAUUAGUUUUUAAUAUAUGAAGCCAAUUGUUAUAUCAGUAACUAUAGAAUUUCAAGGCCAGUCACUAACAAUUUUUUUUUUGUAGAGAAAUUAAAAGGAAAGGAUUAGUGCAAGACUCUUGAUAGGUGAGCAGUCAUCUUGCUAGUCUUUUACUAUAUAUUAAUUUGAUGUGGUUUUUUUAUCUUUUCUACAUGCAGUGCUUAGACUUCAUUAUCCAGAAAUGCCAUUAUCUCUCAAUAUAUUUUAGAGCGUGUCAGUGUGUGUCGGUGAGUCGGUUUGUUCAAGACCUCCUCCUAAAUGCAUUUCAAGUAGGACCACAAGGAGGAAUCUAAGGAAGCUGUGCAGAGAAGAGAUUUCUGGACAAGCAGAAGAAUGGCUUGAAAGGAGGGAGAGAACUUUGCUGCAGAUUAAACUGUGUCAGUUCCCUGUCACGCCAGUUUGUCUCCCCCUUCAGCAAAAUCCUCGAGACUCUGCAAUUUUCAACCUUAUCAUGCAGGAAAAGUCAUCAGGGAAAUCAAAUACUGCGUAAGAAGUGUACAGGAAAUGUGGCAUCUCUACCCUUUUUGGAGGAUUUGCAGUAUACAGAUUUGAGCAUAUCAUCGUUCUCUUCAAAGCUCUGCGCAACUUGCCUCUACAUCUGUGUUAAUUUUCUGUUAAUCCUAUCUUGUGUUGCUUUCCUUUCUUCAUGCCCCCUUUUAAAAUGUGUGUGGUGUGGUUUUUGGGGGAAGGGUGGUUGGUAUACAUUUUGCAUUUUUCUGUUCAUGUAUUAGUCUAUGGAAUCCCUCACAUUUAGAACUCUCACUUAUUGUAUGGGGAACAAUCAAUUUUUUCUUUAAAAACUUCAAAUACUACUUUCUUAAAGCCUUUAGAAUUAAAUUCAGUUUUAAAAUAUUUUUUUCUGUCUCUUUAUUUCUCAAGUCUGGCUUCGUUUAGUGUUACAAAUUGUACAGGCCUCUGCAAUAAAAGUUUUAUAACAUUUAUAAUAUUGUAUAUGAAGAAGCUUGUAAAGACAGCUGAUCUAAUUAAAGCUACUCCUUCUGAAAUUUCUUCAUUGAACCCCCAAGCUUAAUCAGAACAGAGUACUAAUGGGUUUCGAGGCUGAGCUAUAGAAACAAGUGGGGUUUUUUUGUUGUUGUUUUGUUAAUUUAAAACACGGUAAAGUUAAUCAGUCUCGGUACAGAAAGUUCUUCAAGUGCUUGCUCACAUCCAUUCAACAUAGAUGUGUGUUCCUGCCACAUGCACUGGUGCUGGAAGUUUUUCCUUAAGCAGUACUGGUAGGGACAGGGAUCCCUAGUGCUCCCUGGAGUGGUACAUGCAUGACUCACUAUAUAGGACGCCCCGGCCCCUCCCUCCUCAGUUCCUUCUUACCCUCCGUGAUGGUGCUUUGGAACAGCUUGCUCUAGCCUUAGCUGAGAAAACUCUCCCUUUGCAUUGAAGGUGCUAACUACUUUCUGAAUGGUAUCCUUCCUGCCUUAUGGUCCACUGACUUUGAUCUUUAU